rnacentral:misc_RNA from 1 species
UUUUUUUAAAUAAUAAUAAUAAUUAAUGAAGUGUGUUUAGUCAGCCAGCUUCCAGCUCUAAAUGAAAGGAUCUUGUAAAGGCAACCCAAGGAAUGGAUGGGUUAUUGAAGGUGGAAUGUGUUGAAUUCUGUAAAUGUCCACUUAAACUUCAGUAGCACUUCUCUAAUUUAAUAAUAAUAUGUAUGGAGCACAUAAUGCUGUGAAAUGCAUUCUCUCAUAUAAGCAACAAAGAGACAGAGAGAGAGAGAGAG